UUAGUAUCCCUUGUUCUUUCUGAAUAAUACAAACUAUACAAAUACUAGGAAAAAAUGUCUCAUAUAAGCAGAUCUGUUCAAAUACUUAAAACACCUUAAUCAACGCACGUUUGGAACAGUAAUAUAAAUUUUUUAGCAUGGAUUAAUGGCACAUAACAUGUAGUACAGUGCCUCCUCAAAAGGGUGUAUUGUAUAAGAUUUAAUUUUAUAAAAAUUUUGAAAUCCAUGAAGAUUUAAUUUUCACAAAU